AACAACAUGAAGUUGGGGGCUUUCCUUCUCCUCGUGGCGCUCAUUGCCCUCAGCUUUGAGGUGCAGAAACUGCAGGCUUCUGUGAGACCCUUGCAAUUGCUGGGUGCCUGUGUGGAGCUCUGCAGAGGUGACUGGGACUGUGAUUCCGGUGAGCACUGUGUCAGCAAUGGGUGUGGCCACAUCUGUUCUACAUCCUGAGGGUAGAUGAAGACUUUUCUUCAAGACCAAUCCCUCCCUCAAAACUAAGGCUGCCUUCUUGGAGUUCCGAUAUACAGAGAUGUGAAUAUUUGAGAAACUUGCCCAGACAGACAGAUGAAAAUGGCAGAGGACUCUGGCUGGAAAUUGCAAAUGAUGGGAAGGGAAAAAG